GUUACAAAAACGAAAUUACUGUUUGGUUCGUUAAAAAAAAUAUACAGAGAAUUUAGGUUUCAGAGAAGCGGAAAUGGUUUCGGUGGCGCAGGAAGCUCAGCGUGCGCUUAAUAUCCAGCCUCCAAAGAUUAAACUGAAGGCUCGACGAUUGAAAGGUCACAAAGACAGCACUAACUGCUGCAUUGCCUCUUCUCAAAACCCUCGUCUUAUUGUCACCUCUUCACUUUCUCAUAACCCUAAAAAUAACAUAAAUUACAACAAAUCUCGUAACCGUUUCAUCUUCUUCAAACAACCUCGGACAUGUUCCAAAUUCGAUUUUUAUUCUCGUGCUACUGUCGCUCGCAACGCCAAAAUUUGUAACUUCUGUCAAAUGGGUAAUCUCAGAAACGCCAUGGAAUUGCUCACAACGUCACAAAGACAUGAACUUGUGUUGAGUACUUAUUGUUCCGUUUUGCAGCUUUGUGCUGAGAAGAACUCUUUGGAAGAUGGAAAAAAGGUUCAUUCCGUUAUCAUUUCAAAUGGGAUGGUAAUUGAUGAGGUUUUAGGGGCUAAAUUAGUUUUCAUGUAUGUGAAUUGUGGUGAUUUGGUUAAUGGAAGAAGGAUAUUUGAUGAGAUUCUUAAUGAUAAGGUUUUUCUUUGGAAUCUUAUGAUGUCUGAAUAUGCAAAGAUUGGUAGUUAUAGAGAAAGUGUGAGUCUUUUUAUGAAAAUGCAGAAGAUGGGAGUUUCAGGGGAUUCUUAUACGUUUACUUGUGUGUUGAAGUGUUUUGCUGCAUUGGGAAAGGUUAAGGAGUUUAAAAAGGUUCAUGGGUAUAUUUUGAAACUUGGUUUUGGUUCUAAUACUGCUGUUGUUAACUCGAUGAUUGCAGCUUAUUUUAAAUUCGGCCAAGUUGAGAGUGCACGUAAUCUGUUUGAUGAGUUGGCUGAUAGAGAUAUAGUUUCAUGGAAUUCUCUGAUAAAUGGAUGUGUUGUGAAUGGAUUUUCCAAAAAUGGAGUUGAGAUUUUCAUUCAGAUACUGGUUAUGGGGGUUAAUUGGGAUUUGACCACAUUGGUUAGUGUUCUUGUGGCUUCUGCAAAUAUUGGCAACCUUUCAUUUGGUAGAUCUCUUCAUGCUUUUGGGGUGAAAGCUUGUUUUGGUAAGGAAGUUGUGUUUAGCAAUACCUUACUUGACAUGUAUUCAAAAUGUGGUAAUUUAAAUAGUGCAACUGAAGUUUUUGCGAAGAUGGGUGACACAACUAUUGUUUCUUGGACUUCAAUCAUUGCUGCUUAUGUACGAGAAGGUCGAUACGAUGAUGCUAUUGUAUUAUUUGAUGAAAUGCAAAGCAAGGGUGUUAGGCCUGAUAUCUAUACUGUCACAAGCAUUGUUCAUGCUUGUGCUUGUAGCAAUGCUUUGGAUAAAGGAAGGGAUGUGCACAGUUACAUUAUAAAGAAUGGCAUGGGAUCAAAUUCGCCUGUCGCUAAUGCUCUCAUGAACAUGUAUGCAAAAUGUGGAAGUGUGGAAGAAGCUCGGUUAGUUUUCUCUCAAAUUCUAGCUAAGGACAUUGUUUCGUGGAAUACAAUGAUUGGAGGUUAUUCGCAAAAUUCACUUCCCAAUGAAGCUCUAGAACUUUUUUCGGACAUGCAAAAACAGUUAAAACCAGACGACAUUACAAUGGCUUGCGUCCUUCCAGCUUGUGCAGGCUUAGCAGCUCUAGACAAAGGAAGAGAGAUACAUGGACACAUAUUAAGAAGAGGGUACUUUUCAGAUUUGCAUGUGGCGUGUGCACUUGUUGAUAUGUAUGCCAAAUGUGGGUUACUUGUUCUAGCACAGUUGCUUUUUGAUAUGAUUCCUAAAAAGGAUCUGAUUUCAUGGACUGUUAUGAUAGCUGGAUAUGGCAUGCACGGAUUUGGGAAUGAGGCGAUUUCCACAUUCAAGAAGAUGAGGAUUGCGGGCAUCGAGCCUGACGAGUCCUCUUUUGCCGCCAUACUUAAUGCUUGCUGUCAUUCUGGAUUACUGCACGAGGGUUGGCGAUUCUUUAACUUUAUGAGAAAUGAAUACGGUAUUGAACCGAAGUUAGAUCACUAUGCCUGCAUGGUGGAUCUCCUUUCCCGCGCUGGAAAUCUAUCACAGGCGUACAAGUUCAUCAUGUCCAUGCCAAUUGAACCAGAUGCUACAAUUUGGGGUGCAUUGCUUUCAGGAUGCAGGAUUCAUCAUGAUGUGAAGCUAGCAGAAAAAGUGGCAGAAAAUCUUUUUGAGCUAGAGCCAGACAACACAAGGUAUUAUGUUGUUCUAGCGAAUGUCUACGCAGAGGCGGAAAAGUGGGAGGAAGUGAAAAAGUUGCAAGAAAAGAUGCGUAAAAGAAGAUUCGAACAGAAUCCAGGUUGUAGUUGGAUAGAGUUCGGAGGAAAGUUUAAUAUCUUUGUCGCUGGGAACACUAAACACCCUCAAGCAAAAAGGAUAGACGUGUUGCUGAGAAAAUUGAGUUUGCAAAUGAAGAAUGGAGAAUACUCUACUAAGUUGAGGUAUGCAUUGAUUAAUGAAGAUGAUAUGGAGAAGGAAGUGAUUCAGUGUGGACACAGUGAAAAGUUAGCAAUGGCGUUUGGUAUAUUAAAUUUGCCGCCUGGGAGAACCGUUAGGGUCACGAAGAAUCGAAGAGUAUGCGGGGAUUGUCACGAGAUGGGGAAGUUCAUGUCCAAGACAACCAAUAGUGAAAUUUUAUUGAGAGAUUCAAACCGGUUUCACCAUUUCAAGGAUGGUAUAUGUUCUUGCCGAGGUUUCUGGUAAAUCAUUGGAAGAAUUCAAUAGUGUACAUAUUUUCCAAUCACAUUUCUGCUACUGGUGUUACAUGCAACUCAAGGUCCUCAUUUCUUGCUGCAGCAGAUGAUAGUGGCGAGGUGAAGAUAAUUGACAUAAAGCAGCAUUGCCUUUACAAAAAUUGAGAGCCGAAACUGGUCAUACAAGU